GACGAACGCUGGCGGCGUNCUUAUACAUGCNAGUCGAGCGGACAGAUGGAGCUUGCUCCCUGAUGUUAGCGGCGGACGGGUGAGUAACACGUGGGUAACCUGCCUGUAAGACUGGGAUAACUUCCGGGAAACCGGGGCUAAUACCGGAUGCUUGUUUGAACCGCAUGGUUCAAACAUAAAAGGUGGCUUCGGCUACCACUUACAGAUGGACCCGCGGCGCAUUAGCUAGUUGGUGAGGUAAUGGCUCACCAAGGCAACGAUGCGUAGCCGACCUGAGAGGGUGAUCGGCCACACUGGGACUGAGACACGGCCCAGACUCCUACGGGAGGCAGCAGUAGGGAAUCUUCCGCAAUGGACGAAAGUCUGACGGAGCAACGCCGCGUGAGUGAUGAAGGUUUUCGGAUCGUAAAGCUCUGUUGUUAGGGAAGAACAAGUACCGUUCGAAUAGGGCGGUACCUUGACGGUACCUAACCAGAAAGCCACGGCUAACUACGUGCCAGCAGCCGCGGUAAUACGUAGGUGGCAAGCGUUGUCCGGAAUUAUUGGGCGUAAAGGGCUCGCAGGCGGUUUCUUAAGUCUGAUGUGAAAGCCCCCGGCUCAACCGGGGAGGGUCAUUGGAAACUGGGGAACUUGAGUGCAGAAGAGGAGAGUGGAAUUCCACGUGUAGCGGUGAAAAUGCGUAAAGAUGUGGAGGAACACCCAGUGGCGAAGGCGACUCUCUGGUCUGUAACUGACNCUGAGGANCGAAAGCGUGGGGGAGCGAACAGGAUUA
rnacentral:rRNA from 2 species